AGGACGAACGCUGGCGGCGUGCUUAACACAUGCAAGUCGAACGAUGAAGCAGAGCUUGCUCUGCCGAUUAGUGGCGAACGGGUGAGGAACACGUGAGAAACCUGCCCCAGACUCUGGAAUAACAAUUAGAAAUGAUUGCUAAUACCGGAUGACGUCGGAGAACCGCAUGGUUCACUGACGAAAGGAAUCCGGUUUGGGAGGGUCUCGCGACCUAUCAGCUUGUUGGCGGGGUAAUGGCCCACCAAGGCGUCGACGGGUAGCUGGUCUGAGAGGAUGAUCAGCCACACUGGGACUGAGACACGGCCCAGACUUCUACGGAAGGCAGCAGUGGGGAAUCUUAGCGGCAAUGGGCGAAAGCCUGAACGCAGCAACGCCGCGUGCGGGAUGAAGGCCUUCGGCUGUAAACCGCUUCAGCAGGAACGAAAAGUAGACGGUACCUGCAAGAAGAAGGAGACGGCCAACUACGUCGCAGCAGCCGCGGU
rnacentral:rRNA from 1 species